UGCAGUCGAGCGCAUCCUUCGGGAUGAGCGGCGGACGGGUGAGUAACGCGUGGGAAUGUGCCCUUCUCUACGGAAUAGCCACUGGAAACGGUGAGUAAUACCGUAUACGCCCUUAGGGGGAAAGAUUUAUCGGAGAAGGAUCAGCCCGCGUUAGAUUAGGUAGUUGGUGGGGUAACGGCCUACCAAGCCUACGAUCUAUAGCUGGUUUUAGAGGAUGAUCAGCCACACUGGGACUGAGACACGGCCCAGACUCCUACGGGAGGCAGCAGUAGGGAAUCUUGGACAAUGGGGGAAACCCUGAUCCAGCCAUGCCGCGUGAGUGAAGAAGGCCUUAGGGUCGUAAAGCUCUUUCGCCUGUGAUGAUAAUGACAGUAGCAGGUAAAGAAACCCCGGCUAACUCCGUGCCAGCAGCCGCGGUAAUACGGAGGGGGUUAGCGUUGUUCGGAAUUACUGGGCGUAAAGCGCGCGUAGGCGGAUUGGAAAGUUGGGGGUGAAAUCCCGGGGCUCAACCCCGGAACUGCCUCCAAAACUGCCAGUCUAGAGUUCGAGAGAGGUGAGUGGAACUCCAAGUGUAGAGGUGAAAUUCGUAGAUAUUUGGAAGAACACCAGUGGCGAAGGCGGCUCACUGGCUCGAUACUGACGCUGAGGUGCGAAAGUGUGGGGAGCAAACAGGAUUAGAUACCCUGGUAGUCCACACCGUAAACGAUGAAUGCCAGUCGUCGGGUAGUAUACUAUUCGGUGACACACCUA
rnacentral:rRNA from 1 species